AGUUCUGCACUCUUCAGCCGGCGGCGCCACCAGCAGUUGUUUCUACGCGGGAAAUAGGGCAACAGCAUCCCAGCACAGCUGAGUGCCCAAGGAUGGUCAGCCGGCUAGAAACAAGAGUAAUGAUGGCACUUCACUCAGAGGUUUGUCCUGAGGCUUAAAUGAGGCAACAUGGACACAGCAUUUUAGCACAAGGCCAGGUACAGUAUGUGUAAGGAGUGUUGGCUGCUAUUUUCUCAGGCUCAUCAUCCAUCAGAUGCAAUCACUGUUCCCUGUCUUUGAAUUGUGCCUUUAAUUUUCAUACCGCCCCUGACCAAAAUUCCAUCAGAAAAAGGUGGCUUCAGCUAAAGGUUCUUACACCAGAAGCACAAUUAGAGUGAUUGGUGAAAAUUUCCCUUUGCAUGAGAUUGGCCCAUUUUGCAGGAUCGUUCCAUGGAGUGUUCACAGAUUCUUUUUUUUUUUUUAAUUGAAACAGUCUCACUCUGUCACGCAAGUUGGAAUGCAGUGGUGUGAUGUCGGCUCACUGCCAACAUCUGCCACCCAGGUUCAAGUGAUUCUCGUGUCUCAGCCUCCCCAGUAGCUGGGAUUACAGGCGCCGAUCACCAAGCCCGGCUAAUUUUUUUUGUAUUUUUAGUAGAGAUGGGGUUUUGCCAUGUUGGCCAGGCUGCUCUCAA
rnacentral:lncRNA from 1 species